ensembl:lncRNA
UGAACUUUGAUGAAACUCCCUUGUGUUCAUAGUUAACCUUGGUGAAACUCCCUUGUGUAAUUAUCAGAGUUAAAGAUGUCUAGACCAGUAAGGGACAUACUGACAUGGACUCUAUGUAACUAUAGGCUGGUCUACUCAGAGGUGGUGGGUAAGCUGGCGUAAGUGUUGGGUCCAGUAGUUGAAAAAAAGCGCAGCCUCAUGUUGUGCUUGACAGAGUUUCUGCCCAUCCUGUGGUUGAUAUCCACUGGCGCUACCGGACGGUAGUCCUCUACCCGGAAGGUAGUCGCGCAUGCGCACUACCCGAUCAGUCGCCACUUUGAGACACUGUAGAGUAGACAGCGGAAUACAAUCGCUGGCUAAAGCUGAUGGAAGUUUGCGAAAGACGGUAUACUUUAAGAAGUUUGGUCAUUGUAUACCGCUGUAAGUUCUUAACGUUUGUAUAAUAAAGAAGUUAAAGAUAUACUGGAUAUCCUCUUUUGUUCUCCCUGUUGAUAUCCACAAACUCUAUCCGACCAGUCGACGCAAGCCGCACGCAGACCGCAAGGCUGUGAUUGGUCGGCUAACUACAUCAUUUCCGGAGUCUCACAUAUUUCCGGUUUCAUCCCCUCAAAUCAUAAUACCGCCAUUUUUUUAAAUCCAAGGCAGAAACCAAGGAAGAUUUGAAGAGCGAACAUGAACCAAAUCGAAGAGCGAUUAGCAGAAGAGGUCAGGAAACACGAGCACUUGUAUAACCCGUAUCGCACGGACAAGGACCCACAGACCGCGUACAAUUCCUGGAAGGUGAUCUCGGCCAGCGUUGGUUUGGAGGUGCUGGAUUGUUCGACGCUGUGGCGGAAGAUGAGGGACAGAUUUGUCCGCCAGAAUAAGGCCAUGACGGGCAGCGGUGACUCGAAAGCCACUGCCUUUUAUAUAUUCCUGUCGUGGUUGGAACCACACAUAAGACACAGAGAGACGUCGUCAAAAUACGAUAAGCCCUCACCUUGCAACGUAGCCACGAAGAAAGGACCUUCGUUAUCCACCUCAGUUUCUCGGCUCCCCAGUUUAUCGGCUCGGCGAUUAGCAGAGGAGGUCAGGAAACACGAGCACUUGUAUAACCCGUAUCGCAAGGACAAUGACCAACAGACCGCGUACAAUUCCUGGAAGAUGAUCUCGGCCAGCGUUGGUUUGGAGGUGCUGCGUUGUUCGACGCUGUGGCGGCAGAUGAGGGACAGAUUUGUCCGCGAGAAUAAGGCCAUGACGGGCAGCGGUGACCGGAAAGCCACUGCCUUUUAUAAAUUCCUGUCGUGGUUGGAACCACAUAUAAGACACAGAGAGCCGUCGUCAAAUUACGAUAAGCCCUCACCUUGCAACGUAGCCACGAAGAAAGGACCUUCGUUAUCCACCCCAACACCUGAGGCCCCCCCCGAGACAUUCACCUCAGUUUCUCCGCUCCCCAGUUUAUCGGCUCGGCGAUUAGCAGAAGAGGUCAGGAAACACGAGCACUUGUAUAACCCGUAUCGCACGGACAAGGACCCACAGACCGCGUACAAUUCCUGGAAGAUGAUCUCGGCCAGCGUUGGUUUGGAGGUGCUGGAUUGUUCGACGAUGUGGCGGAAGAUGAGGGACAGAUUUGUCCGCCAGAAUAAGGCCUUGAGGGGCAGCGGUGACCAGAAAGCCACUGCCUUUUAUAAAUUCCUGUCGUGGUUGGAACCACACAUAAGACACAGAGAGACGUCGUCAAAAUACGAUAAGCCCUCACCUUGCAACGUAGCCACGAAGAAAGGACCUUCGUUAUCCACCCCAACACCUGAGGCCCCCCCCGAAACAUCUACCUCUUCACCCGAGGCCUCUGUCCAGCCAUCCACCCCAACACCCGAGGCCUCUGUCCAGCCAUCCACCCCAGCCACACCUGAGGCCUCCCCCGAAACAUCCACCUCUUCACCCGAGGCCUCUGUCCAGCCACCCACCCCAACACAUGAGGCCUCCCCCGAGACAUCCACCUCAGUUUCUCCGCUCCCCAGUGUACCGGCUCUGUCCACCCCUCCAGCCGCCAUGAGGCUGGCAUCUCCUCUGUCCCGCAGGGGCCGGAAGAAAAGGCAGAGGGGGCAGGAUGACGGGCAGAUGAUCCGGCUGGACGGGCAGAGGAGGCAGGACGACGGGCAGAUGAUCCGGCUGGACGGGCGCAGGCUGGACGGGCAGAAGAAGAAGAUGGGGGUCAGGGAUGAGUAUUCUAGAUUUGGUGAGCUGGUGGCUGCUAUGAUGAGCAGGGUGCAGGAAGAUAAGAGGGCCGAAGCAAUGAACUCUGUGUACAGCCUGUUGGACAGAAGCAAUGCACUCUGGGUACAGCCUGUUGAACUGAAGCAAUGCACUCUGGGUACAGCCUGUUGGACUGAAGCAAUGCACUCUGGGUACAGCCUGUUGGACUGAAGCAAUGCAGACUGACUGUGUACAGUGUGACGACCCCUCCACGCCACUAGGAGUCUUUUCCCUCUUGCUGGCCCUUUUCCAGGUUUCCUGUUUGGAGUGGUGGGUCAUCAGGCCUGAUGAGUUACACCUGUGGCCGGUUUGGCUCUGUGGCCUAUACCAGCACUCCUUCUCCAGUUCCCGGGAGAGAUCCCUUCCCCGUUGCAGACGGCUGCGUUUUGACUGUUGUUAUCCUUAUUUCAUUAUCUUUGUAAUAAAUGAUUGUUACUUCGUUCAUCCCUCG